CAUGAUUUUGAUUUUGGAUUUUUAAUAGCGUGAAUUAAUUGUUCAUAUACAAGUUUUUUCUCUUAUGAAUAUAAAAAUUGUGUUUUUAAUGGUAAGAAUAUUUAAAGAAGUAGUGUAGAAAUUUAUAAAAUAGUAGAAAUACGGAUUUAGGUUAAUUUAUAAAAGGUAGAUAAAAUUGUGCCAGCAUCUGCGGUUAGACAAUAGCCUUUAGUUAUUUAUUUAUGGAAAAAAUUUAUUGUCGCUUAAAUAUUUAUAUUGUUAAAGAAAUAUAGUAAUUUGGGUUAAAUCUUUUUUUAUAUUAUAAAACUUUUAACAAUAUAGUGUCAUAGAAAAGUUGGUAAAAAACUGGGAUUAGAUACCCCGUUAUUCUUCAUGUAAAAUUUGAGUCCAGGGAAUUAUGAGGGAAACUUUAAAACUCAAAAAAAUUGGCGGUGUUUUAUUUCUUAUUAGGGGAACUUGUCUUAUAAUCGAUAAUCCUCGUUUUAAAUUACCCUUUUUUGUUAUAAAUCAGUUUGUGUAUUUUCGUCAUAAAUUUGUCUUUAAGAGUUAAGAAACAAAUGAAAUAUAUUUUAUAUAAGAUGUCAGAUCAAAGUGCAGCAAAUGGAAGGGGCAGGAUGAGUUACAAUGAAUUAGUAUAUAAAUGGUGUAUUUAUUGAAAAAUUAAUAUUAAAUUGGACUUAAUAGUAAAAAAGAGUAAGAAAACUUUUUUGGAGUAGCUCUAAAAUGUGUACAAAUCGCCCGUCGCUCUCGUCGAAAGAUGAGAUAAGUCGUAACAUAGUAAGUGUAAUGGAAAUUGUACUUGGAAAGAG
rnacentral:ncRNA from 1 species